rnacentral:lncRNA from 1 species
GUUCAAAAAGUUUCUUUUCGUUUAUUUAUUUAUGAGGUACGCUUACAUCUAUAUAAUAAUUGAAAAAUCACACAGGAUUCAUGACUAUGAAAGUUAACUAUUAUGAAAAUAUAAUUGUAAUAUUACAAUCAUAUGAUUAAUUAUUCAUAGAUCAUCAUUGUUUGAGUUUAAUUCACCGCCAAAUAAUACUUUAUCAAAGUAGAACUCAAAGUUAUUCAUGAUUCAUUACGUGGUAAUUUUGAAGAAUUAGUACUGAAUAAAAGAUUAAAACAAAUUUUAAUUAAUCAUAAAUUUAAUACUGAAAUUGGAGUGAAUAGUAUCUUUUAUUUUUCAGGUAUGAAAUAAAUGUUGUUUCUUACGCACUUGAUGAAAAGAAUGAAGUUUCAGCAUCUUAUCUUAUCAGUUUAUUGUUAUGUUAAUAAGUCAUUAUUUUUUUUUAUUUUAAAAUUUCUAUUAAUUUUUUAUUGGUCGAUAUUAAUUAGAGGAAAAAAGAUUCUUGAAUUCAUUUCUAUGGAUCAAUAUUUUUGACCCAGUUUUAAAAAUGAUUGUUUGUUAUCAUGUAAAGCACCUUGUUUUCAUAAUUUUUCGCACUAAAGAAAAUAUUGCAAGAAAAAGUUGAUUUUAAUCUAUUAUAGUUUUCAAUGCAUAAAUUACGUAAAAUAUGUGCAGCUAGUAGAGAUAUAGUGAUUGAUCCAGAGCAAAUGAUUCCCGAGCCAACUAAGGAAAAGAAGAAAUUAAAUUGACUAUUCUAUUGACUAGUAAAGCACAGACAAUCAUUUGAGUACAGAUAUUACCGCCGCUAAUAACUUUUUUCAAGACUUAAUUUGGGAUACAGUUAUGCCUUUUUUCUCCAAACUGGGGCUAGAACUGAAAAUUAAAGACUACGCACAAACAUAAAAAUAUAUUGACCACAGCAGAUUUUGAUGUAAGCUUCAAUGUUACGCCUUCGAUUAAUUCAGGAGCUUUAAUUGAUUACCAAGUUAUUUAUUUAAUGAAUAUACAACUAUUUUUAAUGAGUAUACAACUAUUUU